rnacentral:rRNA from 1 species
GACGAACGCUGGCGGCGUGCUUAACACAUGCAAGUCGAACGGAAAGGCCCUGCUUUUGUGGGGUGCUCGAGUGGCGAACGGGUGAGUAACACGUGAGUAACCUGCCCUUGACUUUGGGAUAACUUCAGGAAACUGGGGCUAAUACCGGAUAGGAGCUCCUGCUGCAUGGUGGGGGUUGGAAAGUUUCGGCGGUUGGGGAUGGACUCGCGGCUUAUCAGCUUGUUGGUGGGGUAGUGGCUUACCAAGGCUUUGACGGGUAGCCGGCCUGAGAGGGGGACCGGCCACAUUGGGACUGAGAGACGGCCCAGACUCCUACGGGAGGCAGCAGUGGGGAAUAUUGCACAAUGGGCGGAAGCCUGAUGCAGCGACGCCGCGUGCGGGAUGACGGCCUUCGGGUUGUAAACCGCUUUCGCCUGUGACGAAGCGUGAGUGACGGUAAUGGGUAAAGAAGCACCGGCUAACUACGUG